AGAGUUUGAUCCUGGCUCAGGACGAACGCUGGCGGCGUGCCUAACACAUGCAAGUCGAACGAGGUCCAUCCAGUGGCAACACUGGUGAAGAUCUAGUGGCGAACGGGUGAGUAACACGUGAGAAACCCACCCCGAUCUCUGGGAUAACAGGUGGAAACACCUGCUAACACCGGAUGCCUUCACCGCAUCGCAUGGCGUGGUGAAGAAAGGUUACGGAUCGGGACGGUCUCGCGGCCUAUCAGCUUGUUGGCGGGGUAAUGGCCCACCAAGGCUUCGACGGGUAGCUGGUCUGAGAGGACGAUCAGCCACACUGGGACUGAGACACGGCCCAGACUCCUACGGGAGGCAGCAGUGGGGAAUCUUGCUCAAUGGGCGAAAGCCUGAAGCAGCAACGCCGCGUGCGGGAUGAAGGCCCUCGGGUUGUAAACCGCUUUCAGCAGGGAAGAAACCAGACGGUACCUGCAGAAGAAUCUGAUUUCCC
rnacentral:rRNA from 1 species